CUCACUGUCGAGAGAGUUGGCAAAAGUUCUUGCCAAUUUGUCAACAAUUAAAUGGAGACAAAGAUGACUAUGUACAAAAAAAUGCUAUAACAAGACCAAAGAACCAAAAAGGUUGCUGUUGCCGCAGAUGCUACUCUUGGUAGAGAUCAGAGAAGGGUAAGAACAGCCGAAUCAUGAAAAAGCAAAAGAUUGCCGUGGCCAAACAUAUAAGGUGAUAUUAUGUGUUACCUCAAGUUUGUCCUCUCUGGCUCUAUGAUUCCUCGGAAGUUGUCUGAACUCCUCAGUCAAACGGAGGCACUGAUCGAUAUUCUCAGGAGAGACAAAGUCAGCGGCAACUUUUGUGCAUGACUACAUGAAGAAUGAUGAUAGUGCCCACAAGUCAGAGGACUUCAAUUCAAAGUAACGGUACAGAUUUUCACUGCAGAUUGCUGCUCUUCACUUAAGGGCACCUCUACUGUGUGUGUCAGGAUAUUCACCUGCCAGGCGGUGGCAUGUCAACACAACGCAUGCGAGUGUAUGAAUGCAAUGCAUCUUCAAAACUGAGCUGUGCCAUCUACUGCCUAACCGAUGUCAAAUUUUGGUGGACACAGUGGCUGGAAUUUUCAGUCAUAUGGAAAGAAGCAAUUACUGUUCUGGACAAUAUCAGCAACUUUCACCUCUAAAUCGGGCUUAUUAUGCACACAUUUUCUCUACUGUUUUGUCAAACACUUUCGUUCCAGCUUUUUUAAAAAAUGUUGCAUGUACGUAAUCAUAAUGAUAAUGAAAAAUCAGUGAUUCAUGCAACAUUUUUUGA